rnacentral:rRNA from 1 species
GAUGAACGCUGGCGGCGUGCCUAAUACAUGCAAGUCGAGCGAGCAGACGAGGAGCUUGCUCCUCUGACGUUAGCGGCGGACGGGUGAGUAACACGUGGAUAACCUACCUAUAAGGCUGGGAUAACUUCGGGAAACCGGAGCUAAUACCGGAUAAUAUAUUGAACCGCAUGGUUCAAUAGUGAAAGACGGUUUUGCUGUCACUUAUAGAUGGAUCCGCGCCGCAUUAGCUAGUUGGUAAGGUAACGGCUUACCAAGGCAACGAUGCGUAGCCGACCUGAGAGGGUGAUCGGCCACACUGGAACUGAGACACGGUCCAGACUCCUACGGGAGGCAGCAGUAGGGAAUCUUCCGCAAUGGGCGAAAGCCUGACGGAGCAACGCCGCGUGAGUGAUGAAGGUCUUCGGAUCGUAAAACUCUGUUAUUAGGGAAGAACAAAUGUGUAAGUAACUAUGCACGUCUUGACGGUACCUAAUCAGAAAGCCACGGCUAACUACGUG